AGGGAGGAAGUACACUUUUUGAAGCUAUGCAACUGUGAACACUGUGAUUUAGAGGGGAUGAAAAAGAAUAGCAGAAAAAGGAAAGGGAAAAAAAAAGAAAAGAGACAAAAUUUCUAACUAAAAAAAUUAAAAUUAAAAAAAACCAAAAAACAAAAAAACCUUCCCCCUUUACAAUCAGGCUUGGCCUGACAGCCAGCUUGAAAAUCUAGGGCAGAACACAAGGGACUUCCCACCAAGAACUAUGGCUGAUUAUUCCAUUUUACAUUUUUAAAAAGAAAAGGAGAAGAAGAAAAAAAACUUCUCGGAAGUGCGAAUGAGGAUUGAAUUGCAGUAAAGCACAACAGGCCACCAUGUCUGAGCAACAGGGAUUUGGUUCUCUGUAUGGAGAUGCAGUCUGACAAGACAAGUUCACUGCAGUUCACAGCGCCGUUGAACGCCAAGGCCCAGGAGGUUCACAUCUGGGACUCAGCACACAAGCAUUAUCACUGCUACAGCUGCAGGACAGAUGACUGUACUUCUCUGCCCCCUGGAAAUGAGGCUUGCCCGUCUGACUCACUUUGUCCAGUGAAUUAUCAACAGAAGUGAUGUGAAUCACUUCGAAGUGGAAGCUUCAAGUGCUGGUACAAGAUUUACCUCUCUGUAUUUCCCUGUUCCUGUGAUCUUGUAA
rnacentral:lncRNA from 1 species